rnacentral:rRNA from 1 species
UACAGAGGGGGCAAGCGUUGUUCGGAAUUACUGGGCGUAAAGGGCGCGUAGGCGGCCUGCUAAGUCGAACGUGAAAUCCCUGGGCUCAACCCAGGAACUGCGUCCGAUACUGGUUGGCUUGAAUCCGGGAGAGGGAUGUGGAAUUCCAGGUGUAGCGGUGAAAUGCGUAGAGAUGUGGAGGAACACCGAUGGCGAAGGCAGCCUCCUGGGCCAGCACUGACGCUCAUGCACGAAAGCGUGGGGAGCAAACAGG